rnacentral:rRNA from 1 species
GGCGAACGGGUGAGUAACGCGUUGGUGACCUGCCCCGAAGUGUGGGAUAACAGUUCGAAAGGACUGCUAAGACCGCAUGCGGUCAUCGGGUUUAGAAGCCGAUGACCAAAGCAGCAAUGCGCUUUGGGAGGGACCUGCGUCCCAUCAGCUAGUUGGUAGGGUAACGGCCUACCAAGGCUACGACGGGUAGGGGACCUGAGAGGGUGACCCCCCACAAUGGAACUGAAACACGGUCCAUACACCUACGGGUGGCAGCAGUAGGGAAUAUUGCACAAUGGGCGAAAGCCUGAUGCAGCAACGCCGCGUGCACGAUGAAGGUCCUCGGAUCGUAAAGUGCUUUUCUGGGAGAUGAGAAAGGACAGUAUCCCAGGAAUAAGUCUCGGCUAACUACGUGCCAGCAGCCGCGGUAAAACGUAGGAGGCAAGCGUUAUCCGGAUUCACUGGGCGUAAAGCGCGUGCAGGCGGUUCGGUAAGUUGGGCGUGAAAUCUCCUGGCUUAACUUGGAGAGGUCGUCCAAUACUAACGGACUAGAGAACAGUAGAGGAAGAUGGAAUUCCCGGUGUAGUGGUGAAAUGCGUAGAUAUCGGGAGGAACACCAGUGGCGAAGGCGGUCUUCUGGACUGUUUCUGACGCUCAGACGCGAAAGCUAGGGUAGUAAACGGGAUUAGAGACCCCGGUAAUCCUAGCCGUAAACGAUGUGAA